ensembl:lncRNA
GCACCAGCCAGCUUGUCCUUGGAAACGCAGAAUAGACCCACCUCCUUAUGUCCUCCAGGCAGCAAGAGUUCCGAAACUCGUCCACCAGCAAAACGAGUCUGGGCAACCGAUGAUUUCCACAUGGCAUCAAAUUCUCCACCUAAAAAGCCUUUCCACAACACAAAUGAAGAACUAGUGACAGAGGAGCUACAGAGCAACGCAGUUCAGCACUUCUGGUGUGUCAGUGCAACUCAUUGUCAAAGUGAUGAAAGGUACACAGAAUUCUCUCGAAAUCAUCAGUGCACAUGUAAUGCCCUCACAUUCCUGGCCUACCUUAAUGAGGAACACCAGUUCAACACAGCCCGACUUGAUAAGGUGCUUGAACAGGGAGAUGCACUCUACUGUUGGAUUAAAACACAUCUUCAGCAGGAGAGG